GUGUGGACUGUUCGGUGGACCAAAAAGAGGGGUUUUCCGGGUUGUCAGUCCCACCCACACCUUUAUCUUCGUCUGUGUUCCAACCGCCGCACCUCGUGCUGAGUGAAGUGUCAUGGAGGAACUUGGUGAACAAAGUAAAGGACGUGAUAGAAGGAAGAAGGUACGCAGGAUUGUAUUUGACUUCCAUAGAUUUGUUGUUUGACUGUUUGCACUGGACUCUUUAGGGCACAAAAGAAAAGAACGACAAAAGAUUGACAAUGUCAUUGUAUGUAUAGUAAUUGAUGUUUACUUUGUAAUUACAAAUUUAUAAGGGAAGUAUGUUGUUUCCAAGCACAUAAUCUUGCAUUGCUUUUUGGACAUUUGUUGAAUUGUUCGGAAGACAAGAAACCAUCAUUUGAGGGACAACAGUUGCAUACUCCAAUCCAACCAAACAAAUUUGAUUGUGGAGUAAUUGUUUUGAAAAUUAUGGAGUUGUGGGAUGGCAUUGACAAAUAUGAAAGAAACACAAUGCCCAGUUACACAACUGAAGAACUACAACAAUUUAGGGAGCAAUAUGUUUGUCAAUGGAUUUUGGAUGUGGACAACAUGCAGAGGAAUCAAGUGUUGGAAGAUUUAGGCCUUUUGUAGAAUGUUG